CUGGCUGCCUCCAUGAAUAAGCCUGUGAAGGAGCAAAGCCCCAGGGAGCAUGUGACUGUACGUGACAUGACCUGCUGUGGGCUACCUCCCUGGGUUCAGAAAACAGAGUGGCUCUGUCUGAACUGCCAAACUAAGCGGCUUUUGGAGGGCGGCCUAGGAGAGCCAACCCCCCUGCCACUGCCCACCUCACAGCAGCCCCCUGCAGGGACCUCUCACCAUGCAGCUGGAAUAGCCUCCCUGAAGCAGAAAGGGCCACAGGGACUGGGCCAGCCAUCAGGCCCCCUCCCUGCCAAGACCAGUCCCCAGCCUACCAAGGCCAGCCCCCAGCCCACCAAGACCAGCCCCCAGACCAAGCCCCUCAGGGCUUCUGAACCCAGCAAGACCUCAAGCAGUGCCCAGGAAAAGAAGACAGGAAUUCCUUCUAAAGUUGAGCCUGUGCCAAAGCCCCCUUCAGAGACUACCCUGCCCCCUGGAACUUGUAAAGUAAAGAGUGGGGUGAGAAGGACUGAACCUGCCACACCUGUCAUCAAGGCUGUUCCAGAAGCCCCCAAGGGUGGGAAGGCUGAGGAACCAGUUGGCAAGCCUUACUCUCAGGACCUGUCUCGGAGUCCACAGAGUCUCAGCGACACAGGUUAUUCCUCCGACGGGGUCUCUAGCUCCCAGAGUGAGAUUACAGGUGUUGUGCAGCAGGAGGUGGAGCAGCUUGAUAAUGCAGGAGUGACGGGGCCACGCCCUCCUAGCCCCUCAGAACUCCACAAGGUGGGGAGCAGCAUGCAGCCUUUGCUGGAGACACAGGCUGUGGCUCCCAGUGGUGAGAGGAGCAAGCCACAUGGUGAGGAGCAAAAGCGGCGGCCCCACUCCUUGUCCAUCAUGCCUGAGGCCUUUGAUUCUGAUGAGGAACUGGGAGACAUAUUGGAAGAAGAGGAAGAGUCUCUAGAGUGGAGGCACCAGAAGGAACAGCAGGACGCAGCUGAGUCCUCAGAUGACUUUGGCAGCCAGCUGAGGCAUGACUAUGUGGAAGACAGCAGUGAAGGUGGCCUGUCCCCUCUUCCACCCCAGAUCCCAAUCCGGGCAGCAGAAAUUACUGAUGAAGAGUUCAUGCGAAGGCAGAUUCUAGAGAUGAGUGCUGAGGAAGACAACCUGGAGGAGGACAAUAUUGCCAUCUCCAGGCAUGGCCUGGCCAAGCAUGGCACCCAGAAGGGCAGCACAAGGCCUGGACCUGAAUCUAGCCAAGAACCAGUAGCACUGCCCAAGAGGCGCUUGCCCCACAAUGCUACCACGGGCUAUGAGGAGUUGCUCUCUGAGGGAGGCCCAGCAGAGGCCACUGAUGGCAGUGGAGCCCUGCAGGGUGGGCUCCGCCGCUUCAAGACCAUUGAGCUCAACAGCACAGGCAGCUACAGCCAUGAGCUAGACCUAGGCCAAGGCCCCGACACCAGCCUGGACCGGGAGCCUGAGCUGGAGAUGGAGAGCCUAACAGGCUCGCCUGAGGACCGCUCCCGUGGGGAGCACUCCUCCACACUGCCUGCCUCCACACCCAGCUACACGUCGGGCACCUCACCCACCUCCCUGUCUUCCCUAGAGGAGGACAGUGACAGUAGCCCAAGCCGCCGACAACGGCUAGAAGAAGCAAAACAGCAGCGCAAGGCCCGGCACCGCUCCCAUGGACCCUUGCUCCCCACCAUCGAGGACUCCUCAGAGGAAGAAGAGAUGCGAGAAGAAGAAGAGCUGCUGAGGGAGCAGGAGAAGAUGCGUGAGGUGGAACAGCAGCGUAUCCGUAGCACAGCCCGAAAGACCCGGCGUGACAAGGAAGAGCUGCGGGCCCAGCGGCGGCGUGAGCGCUCUAAGACACCACCCAGUAAUUUAUCACCCAUCGAGGACGCAUCACCCACAGAGGAGCUGAGGCAGGCAGCAGAGAUGGAGGAGCUACACCGCUCCUCCUGCUCUGAGUACUCACCCUCACCCUCCCUUGACUCAGAGGCUGAAGCUCUAGAUGGAGGUCCCACCCGGCUCUACAAGUCAGGCAGUGAAUACAACCUGCCCACCUUCAUGUCCCUCUACUCUCCAACUGAGAUGCCCUCAGGCAGCUCUGCCACUCCCAGUUCUGGACGGCCCCUCAAGAGCGCUGAGGAGGCCUAUGAGGAGAUGAUGAGAAAAGCUGAGCUGCUCCAGCGGCAACAGGGCCAGGUCUCAGGGGCCCAAGGGCCCCAUGGUGCCUCCUCUCAGCCCACAGGCCCCCAGGGCCAGGGCUCCUUUGAAUACCAAGACACCCCAGACCAUGACUAUGGCAGGGUUGCUCAAUCUGCCCCAGAGAGCACACCUGCUGGCCUGGGAGUAACCGUGUAUGAGGAGAUCCUUCAGACAUCACAGAGCAUAGCCCGCAUGCGGCAGGUCUCCUCACGAGACCUGGCCUUUACCGAGGACAAGAAAAAGGAGAAGCAGUUUCUGAAUGCCGAGAGUGCAUACAUGGACCCAAUGAAGCAAAAUGGUGGCCCACUCACCCCUGGUACCAGUCCCACCCAGCUAGCUGCCCCCGUGUCUUUCUCUACUUCCACCUCGUUAGACAGCAUUGGGGGCCGAGUAGUUCCUGAUGUCUGUGUCACUCAGCAUUUUGCAAAAGAGCAUCAGGACCCCCUCAAGCUGCAUAGCUCUCCUGCCUCCCCCAGCUUGGCUUCCAAGGAGGUAGGCGUGUCCUUCUCCCAGGGCCCUGGGACCCCAGUCACCACAUCUGGGGCUCCUUGUCCAGCAAGCCUGCCACGAGGGUAUAUGACUUUGACCUCCCCAACCUGCUCUGAGCGCAGUCCUUCACCAUCUUCCACAGUCCACAGCUAUGGACAGAGCCCAACCACCGCAAACUAUGGAUCCCAAACUGAGGAGAUACUCCAGGCUCCUGGUGGGCCUUCUGCAGGCAGACGGGCCACUAGAGAGAAGUCCCUGAGUGGGACUGACAGUGAGGCUGGCCCUUCCCAACCUUCCCGGGGAUAUUCUUACUUUGUAGGCUCCAGCCCACCUCUCUCCCCAUCUUCCCCCUCAGAGAGCCCCACAUUCUCCCCAGGUAAACUGGGUCCAAGGGCCACAGCAGAGUUCUCUACACAGACGCCAAGCCCAACCCCUGCCUUGGACAUGCCACGGAGUCCUGGUGCCCCCACCCCCACUCCCAUGGUAGCCCAAGGCACACAAACACCACACCGACCCAGCACACCUCGCCUUGUGUGGCAGCAGUCUUCUCAGGAGGCUCCCUUUAUGGUCAUUACAUUAGCAUCAGAUGCCUCCAGCCAGACCAGGAUGGUACAUGCCAGUGCCUCCACCUCCCCACUAUGCUCACCUACAGACACCCAAGCCACCACUCACAGCUACAGCCAAACAACACCUCCAAAUGUGUCUCAGAUGCCCCCAGAGCCACCUGGGCCACCUGGCUUCCCACGAGCACCCAGUGCUGGUGCAGAUGGGCCCCUGGCACUAUACGGCUGGGGUACUCUUCCUGCUGAAAACAUCUCCCUAUGCCGGAUCUCCUCUGUCCCUGGAACAUCUAGAGUUGAGCCAGGCCCCAGGCUCCCUGGCAGUGCAGUGGUAGACCUCCGCACAGCUGUCAAGCCCACGCCUAUCAUCCUCACUGACCAGGGUAUGGAUCUGACCUCUCUUGCUGUGGAAGCAAGGAAGUAUGGCCUUGCUCUGGAUCCAAUCCCAGGACGGCAGUCAACUGCUGUGCAACCUUUGGUUAUCAACCUUAAUGCCCAAGAGCAAACCCAUGCCUUCUUGGGUACUGCCACCACCGUGAGCAUCACCAUGGCCUCGUCUGUGCUCAUGGCUCAACAAAAGCAACCUGUGGUCUAUGGAGACCCCUUCCAGAGCCGGCUUGACUUUGGCCAGGGUUCAGGUAGCCCUGUGUGCCUGGCCCAGGUCAAGCAAGUAGAACAGGCCGUGCAGACUACCCCAUACCGAGGUGGGUCCCGAGGAAGACCCAGGGAAGCCAAGUUUUCCAGGUAUAAUCUGCCCAAUCAGGUAGCACCCCUGGCCAGAAGGGAUGUUUUGAUCACUCAGAUGGGCACCACCCAGAGUGUUAGCCUCAAGCCAGGACCAGUACCAGAACCUGGUGCCGAACUACACCGGGCCAUGCCUGCAGAGCUGCGGUCACAUGCUCUGCCAGGUUCCAGGAAGCCACACACAGUGGUGGUGCAGAUGGGAGAAGGCACAGCAGGCACUGUGACUACACUGCUCCCAGAGGAACCAGUGAGUGCCCUGGACCUCACUGGGGUGAGGCCUGAGAGCCAACUGGCAUGCUGUGACAUGGUCUACAAGUUUCCCUUUGGCAGUAGCUGCACUGGCACCUUCCACCCCACCCCCAGUGCACCUGAAAAGAGUGUAGCAGAUGCUGCCCCACCUGGCCAAAGCAGUGGCCCCUUCUAUAGUCCCCGGGACUCUGAGCCCCCUGAGCCCUCUACCUACCGUGCACAGGGGUUAGUAGGGCCUGCGCCUCAUGAAGAGCAGAGGCCCUAUCCACAGGGCCUACCUGGUAGACUGUACUCUUCCAUGUCUGACACCAAUUUGGCUGAGGCUGGCCUCAACUACCACGCCCACAGGAUUGGGCAGCUGUUCCAGGGUCCUGGACGAGACUCAGCUAUGGACCUCAGCUCACUAAAACACUCCUACAGCCUGGGCUUUGCAGAUGGACGUUAUCUAGGGCAAGGCUUACAAUAUGGCUCGUUUACAGACCUGCGUCAUCCCACAGAUCUUUUGACUCACCCACUUCCCAUGCGGCGCUAUAGCUCAGUGUCUAACAUCUACUCAGAUCACAGGUAUGGCCCACGGGGAGAUACAGUUGGCUUUCAGGAGGCCAGCCUGGCCCAGUACAGUGCCACCACUGCCCGAGAGAUCAGCCGCAUGUGUGCUGCCCUCAACUCCAUGGACCAGUAUGGAGGGCGGCAUGGCAGUGGUGGCAGUGGCCCUGACCUUGUGCAGUUCCAACCGCAGCAUGGGUCUGGGCUCAGUGUUCCACAGGGUCUGGCUCCCCUAAGACCUGGCCUCCUUGGCAACCCCACCUUCCCAGAGGGCCACCCGAGCCCUGGAAGCCUAGCCCAGUAUGUACCUGCAGCAGGCCAGGGAACAGCAGUCAGACAGCUGCUGCCAUCCACAGCCACUGUGCGUGCAGCUGAUGGCAUGAUCUACUCGACUAUCAACACUCCAAUUGCUGCAACCCUGCCCAUCACCACCCAACCUGCCUCAGUAUUGAGGCCCAUGGUGCGCAGUGGCAUGUAUAGGCCUUACUUAUCUGGUGGAGUUACAGCUGUGCCACUCACUAGCCUGACACGUGUGCCCAUGAUUGCCCCUCGGGUACCUCUUGGGCCCACAGGGCUAUACCGAUAUCCUGCACCAAGUAGAUUCCCCAUUGCUUCUAGUGUCCCACCUGCUGAGGGACCUGUCUACUUGGGAAAACCUGCUGCCGCCAAGGCCCCAGCAACAGGCGGCCCACCAAAACCAGAACUGCCAGCAGGGGCUGCACGGGAAGAACCUCUUUCCACAGCUGCCCCUGCUACCACCAAGGAGGCUGCAGUUGCCCCUACCCCUGCUCCACCCACUGGCCAGAAGCCACCAGGAGAUUCUGCAGCUGGGGGUGGCAGCCUCAGCCGGACUGGGCUCGAGAAGGAGGAAGCAUCUCAGGAGGAUCGUCAGCGGAAGCAACAGGAGCAGCUGCUACAACUGGAGCGGGAACGAGUAGAAUUGGAGAAGCUGCGACAACUGCGGCUGCAGGAGGAGCUGGAGCGGGAGAGGGUGGAGCUGCAGAGGCACCGUGAAGAAGAGCAGUUGCUGGUUCAGCGGGAGUUGCAGGAGCUGCAAACCAUUAAGCACCAUGUGCUGCAGCAGCAGCAAGAAGAACGCCAGGCUCAGUUUGCACUGCAGCGGGAGCAGCUGGCACAGCAGCGUCUGCAGCUGGAGCAGAUCCAGCAGCUGCAGCAGCAGUUGCAGCAGCAGCUAGAAGAACAGAAGCAGCGGCAAAAAGCACCCUUCCCUGCAGCCUGUGAGGCAGCUGGCCGAGGGCCUCCCUCAGCUGCUACUGAGCUGGCCCAGAAUGGCCAGUACUGGCCACCCCUGACUCACACAGCUUUCAUUGCUGUGGCAGGGACUGAGGGGCCUGGGCAGUCUCGUGAGCCUGUAGUGCACCGGGGGCUCCCCAGCUCUGCUUCAGACAUGUCUCUGCAGACUGAGGAGCAGUGGGAAGCAGGCCGCAGUGGCAUCAAGAAGCGACACUCCAUGCCACGCUUGAGGGAUGCCUGUGAAACAGAGUCAGGGCCUGAGCCCUGCAUGGUCAGGAGGAUUGCAGACAGCAGCGUGCAGACAGACGAUGAGGAUGGGGAAGGCCGCUACCUUCUGACCAGGAGACGCCGGACACGUCGGAGUACUGACUGCAGUGUGCAGACAGAUGAUGAGGACAAUGUUGAGUGGGAGCAACCUGUACGCCGCCGCAGGUCCCGUCUUUCCCGUCACUCAGACUCAGGUUCUGACAGCAAGCACGAUACCACUGCCUCAACAUCCACUGCCUCCACCACAGUAAGGGCCAUGAGCAGUGUGGGCAUUCAGACCAUCAGUGAUUGCUCUGUGCAGACAGAGCCUGACCAGCUGCCCAGGGUCUCUCCAGCCAUUCACAUCACGGCUGCCACUGACCCCAAGGUAGAGAUCAUCAGGUACAUCUCGGCGCCAGAGAAGACUGGGCAUGGGGAGAGCCUAGCCUGCCAGACAGAGCCAGAUGGGCAGGCCCAGGGUGUUGCUGGGCCACAGCUUGUAGGGCCAACUGCCAUCAGCCCCUACCUGCCUGGCAUCCAGAUCAUCACCCCAGGAUCCCUGGGCAGAUUUGAAAAAAAGAAGCCAGAUCCUUUGGAGAUUGGGUACCAGGCCCACCUGCCCCCAGAGUCCCUCUCACAGCUUGUAAGCCGCCAGCCUCCCAAGUCCCCCCAGGUCCUCUACUCACCAGUUUCACCCCUGUCCCCACAUCGGCUCCUGGACACCUCCUUUGCCUCCAGUGAGAGGCUGAACAAGGCUCACGUGAGUCCCCAGAAGCACUUCACGGCUGACAGCGCUUUCCGCCAGCAGACACUGCCUCGCCCCAUGAAGACCCUGCAGCGAUCCUUGUCUGACCCUAAACCCCUCAGCCCCACCGCCGAGGAAUCUGCCAAAGAGAGAUUCUCCCUCUACCAGCACCAGGGGGGACUGGGUAGCCAGGUGUCGGCGCUGCCACCCAACGGCCUGGCCCGCAAGGUGAAGCGGACACUGCCCAGCCCCCCUCCAGAGGAGGCUCACCUUCCCCUGGCUGGCCAGGCCCCCCCACAACUGUAUGCAGCAAGUCUGCUGCAGCGAGGGCUGGCGGGGCCCACCACCAUCCCUGCUACAAAAGCCAGCCUGCUCCGGGAGCUGGACCGGGACCUGCGGCUGGUGGAACAUGAGUCCACCAAGCUGCGCAAGAAGCAGGCAGAGCUGGAUGAGGAGGAAAAGGAGAUUGAUGCCAAGCUCAAGUACCUAGAACUGGGCAUCACCCAGCGCAAAGAGUCUUUGGCUAAAGACCGGGGUGGCCGUGACUACCCACCCUUACGUGGCCUUGGUGAACAUCGUGACUACUUGUCGGACAGUGAGCUCAACCAGCUGCGGCUCCAGGGCUGUACAACCCCUGCUGGCCAGUAUAUGGACUUUGCUGCCACUGCUGCUGCACCUGUCACCCCCUCUGCACCCACUGCCUUCCAGCAACCCCGGUUCACACCUCCGGCCCCACAGUACACUACAGGCAGUAGUGGGCCAACUCAGAAUGGAUUCCCAGCCCACCAGGCACCCACCUACCCUGGCCCCAGUACAUAUCCAGUACCUGCCUUUCCUCCCAGCACCAGUUACCCAACUGAGCCUAGCCUGCCAAACCAGCAGGCUUUCCGCCCCACAGGCCACUAUGCAGCCCAAACACCUAUGCCAACCACACAGAGCACCCUUUUUCCAGUUCCAGCUGACAGCCGUGCCCCUCACCAAAAGCCACGUCAGACCUCGCUAGCCGACUUGGAGCAGAAAGUACCCACCAACUAUGAGGUGAUUGCCACCCCCAUGGCGGCUAUAUCUUCAGCCCCUUCUGAAAGCAGCUACAGUGCCCCAGUAGUGAGCAGCAGCUAUGAGCAGGGCAAGGCCCCUGAGCUUCCCCGGACCAGUGACCGUAGCACUGUAAGCCAGAGCCCAGCCCCCACUUACCCCUCUGACUCCCACUAUACCAAUCUGGAGCAAAACGUUCCUAGAAACUAUGUGAUGAUCGAUGACAUCAGUGAGCUGACCAAGGACAGCACCCCCACUGCCCCUGAUAGCCAGCGGAUGGAGCCUUUAGGGCCAGGCAGCAGUGGGCGUCCUGGGAAGGAACCUGGAGAACCAGGGGUCCUUGAGGGGCCCACACUGCCCUGCUGCUAUGGCAGAGGGGAGGAAGAAUCUGAGGAGGACUCAUAUGAUCCCCGUGGGAAGGUUGGCCAUCACCGGAGCACGGAGAGCAAUGGGCGACCAACCAGCUCCCACUACUAUGGUGACAGUGACUAUAGACAUGGAGCUCGAACAGAGAAGUAUGGUCCAGGGCCCAUGGGACCCAAGCAUCCCUCCAAGAGCCUGGCCCCAGCUGCCAUCCCCUCAAAGCGCAGCAAGCACCGGAAGCAGGGCAUGGAGCAAAAGAUCUCCAAGUUCUCACCUAUUGAAGAGGCCAAGGAUGUAGAGUCAGACCUGGCCUCCUAUCCUCCACCUGCUGUCAGCAGCAGUGUGGCUUCUCGGGGCAGGAAGUUCCAAGAUGAAAUCACCUAUGGGCUCAAGAAGAAUGUGUAUGAGCAGCAGAGGUACUAUGGGGUAUCCAGCCGGGAUGCAGCAGAGGAGGAUGACCGCAUGUAUGGUGGGGGCAGUCGGUCCCGGGUGGCAUCUGCAUACAGUGGGGAGAAGCUAUCCAGCCAUGAUUUCAGUGGCCGAGGCAAGGGGUAUGAAUGGGAACGGGAGGCUGUAGAACGACUUCAAAAAACAGGCCCCAAGCCUUCAUCUCUGAGCAUGGCCCACAGCCGGGCACGGCCCCCCAUGCGGAGCCAGGCCUCUGAAGAGGAGAGCCCUGUCAGCCCCUUGGGGAGGCCCCGCCCCUCUGGGGGCACCAUCCCUCCUGGGGAUACCUGCCCACAGUUCUGCUCCAGCCACUCCAUGCCUGAUGUCCAGGAGCAUGUCAAGGAUGGACCACGGGCCCACACAUAUAAGCGUGAGGAGGGCUACAUCUUGGAUGAUUCCCACUGCGUGGUUUCUGACAGUGAAGCAUAUCACCUGGGUCAGGAGGAGACAGACUGGUUUGAUAAGCCCCGGGAUGCCCGCUCUGAUCGGUUCAGGCACCAUGGGGGCCACACAGUCUCCUCCUCCCAGAAGCGAGGCCCUGCCAGGCACAGCUACCAUGACUACGAUGAACCUCCUGAGGAGGGUCUGUGGCCUCAUGAUGAGGGUGGUUCAGGCCGCCAUGCCUCAGCCAAGGAACACCGGCACCACAGUGACCACGGGAGGCAUUCAGGUCGCCAUGCUGGUGAGGAACCUGGACGGCGUGCUGCCAAACCACAUGCUCGGGAUCUGGGUCGGCAUGAGGCCCGGCCCCACCCUCAGCCCAGCUCUGCCCCAGCCAUGUCAAAGAAGGGUCAGCCUGGAUACCCUGGCUCUGCUGAAUAUUUACAGCCAUCUCGUGCUCCUUCAGCAUACCAUCAUGCCUCUGACAGCAAGAAGGGCUCCCGACAGGCCCAUUCUGGGCCUGCUGCAUCUCAGCCAAAGCCAGAAUCCCAGGCACAGCCACAGCUGCAAGGCCGGCAGGCAGCUCCAGUACAACAGCAGUCCCAGCUACCACCAUCCAGGCAGAUACCCUCAGGGGCAGCAUCACGCCAGCCACAGACGCAACAGCAGCAGCAGCAGCAGCAGCAGCAACAGCAACAGCAAAGUUCUGGGCAGCAACUUCAGCAGGCUCCAUCACAGGCUCGACUUCAGCAGCAGAGCCAGCCAAGUACUCGGGGUUCAGUCCCUGCUGCCAGCCAGCCAGCAGGGAAGCCUCAGCCAGGUCCCAUGACAGCCCCAGGUCCCCAGCCAGCAGGACCGCCACGGGCAGAACAGGCAAAUGGCCUUAAAGGGACAGCCAAAGCACCCCAACAGGGGAGGGCUCCUCAGGCCCAGCCAACACCAGGACCUGGACCUUCAGGUAUGAAGGCUGGAUCCAGGCCUGGAGGGACACCAGGGGCUCCUGCUGGCCAGCCAGGUGCCGAAGGGGAGAGCAUGCUGUCCAAGAUCCUCCCUGGUGGGGCAGCAGAGCAAGCCGGCAAGCUGACUGAAGCUGUCUCUGCUUUUGGCAAAAAAUUUUCCUCAUUCUGGUGACCAUGCCCAGCAGGGCCCUUGAAGAUGUGAAGAGAGAUGGUAUCAUUGCUGUGGAAAAAUCUCUGGAGUUAAAGGCCUGGCACAGCUCUGGACUCUGCGUAUAACACAUCUACAAUCUGGCAAACCCUUGGCCCAAAGAUUCACACCAGGUGGACUGCAGUGGGCAGGCCUCAGUUGAGGAUGGGAUGUUUUCUUACAGUAGCUGCCUGGGUGAAGCAUCUGCUGGACAAAGUGGGACCACUGGCCCAGGGGAUCUUUGACUGUCUUUCCAGAGACCCUACCUUCUGCAGGCCAGCAGUCGUUGGAAUGAAGGAGCCCUCUCCAGAACCCUGCUUCCUCAGCUGCUGUUGUUCCCACAGCCACCUCUCUGCAGCCAGGCCAGCCAGGCUUCCAAUGCGUUAUACACAGAGUUUGGUUACACACUACCCUCCCUCUGAGAUGCCAGAAGUUUUUCCACAGCCUUGGAGAGGGGCUUUGACUGAGGGCUGGGGGCCCUGGGCUCCAUUUCCUUCACAUUCCAGCUGGCCCAGAUCCCUCUGUAGCCACAGGGUCCUGCCCCCUUCACCCUGCCCUCUGGGUGACAUUGAAGCAGACCUCUAUGUGGCCAGCAUGGGGUUGGGAGAACUUUAUAAACAUUAGGACCUAACACUGUCUCAUUGCUGAACUAAGAGGCCAUAGCACCGAAAAGCAGCGUGGGCACUGGCUGAGGCUUCUCCCAGCCCAUGGGUGGCAGUGUGCUAGGCACGCCAGCCAUCAUCUUAAAGCCAUCCCCUCAGCCAUCGUGAGC